rnacentral:rRNA from 1 species
UACGGGGGGGGCAAGCGUUGUUCGGAAUUACUGGGCGUAAAGGGUUCGUAGGUGGCCCGCUAAGUCAGACGUGAAAUCCCUCAGCUCAACUGGGGAACUGCGUCUGAGACUGGCGGGCUUGAGUGCAGGAGAGGAACGCGGAAUUCCAGGUGUAGCGGUGAAAUGCGUAGAUAUCUGGAGGAACACCGGUGGCGAAGGCGGCGUUCUGGACUGCUACUGACACUGAGGAACGAAAGCCAGGGGAGCAAACGGG